rnacentral:rRNA from 1 species
UACAGAGGGUGCAAGCGUUAAUCGGAAUUACUGGGCGUAAAGGGCGCGUAGGUGGUUAAUUAAGUCAGAUGUGAAAUCCCCGGGCUUAACCUGGGAAUUGCAUUUGAAACUGAUUGGCUAGAGUACGGGAGAGGGAAGUGGAAUUUCCGGUGUAGCGGUGAAAUGCGUAGAUAUCGGAAGGAACACCAGUGGCGAAGGCGACUUCCUGGCCCGUUACUGACACUGAGGCGCGAAAGCGUGGGGAG